rnacentral:rRNA from 1 species
ACACGUAGGAGGCUAACGUUAUCCGGAUUUACUGGGCGUAAAGCGCGUGCAGGCUGUUCAAUAAGUUAGGCGUGAAAGCUCCCGGCUCAACUGGGAGAGGUCGUUUAAUACUGUUGGACUAGAGGAUGGUAGAGGGAGGUGGAAUUCCGGGUGUAGUGGUGAAAUGCGCAGAUAUCCGGAGGAACACCAGUGGCGAAAGCGGCCACCUGGACCAUUCCUGACGCUCAGACGCGAAAGCUAGGGUAGCGAACGGGAUUAGAGACCCCAGUAGUCCUAGCUGUAAACGAUGUGAACUUGGCGUCGGUGGGAUUAAAUCCAUCGGUGUCGAAGCUAACGCGAUAAGUUCACCGCCUGCGGACUACGGCCGCAAGGUUAAA